AUAACUUCCUCCUCACUCUCACUCUCACUAGAAGAAGAUAGCUCAAGUGUUUAGGCUCUGGUUAUCCUGCUGCAAUGAAGCAAAAAUCAACUCUACAUUUGACUGGAGGCAAAAUUUUCCUUAUUUUUAUCUUUAUACAAGGAGCCUUGACAUAUAAGAAGUCCUACAAUCCAUGGAAAUAUGGUUACCCACUAAUAGCAGCAUAUGGAUUUGAAAGAGUGAAAACAGAGCCACCGAUGGACAUGAAUCAGUCAGGAUCUGAUGAUGACAAACCUAUGGGGACUCAAUUAAACUUAGGAUCUGAAAGACUACAGCAGGC